rnacentral:misc_RNA from 1 species
UUUUUUUUUUUUUUUUAAUAAAACAAAAAAUGGCAAUAUGCUUUUGAUGUUUAUCAUCAUUUAUCAUUUCUGGAUUGUGCAGUUAGCUCCAAUUCAAACUAGGGCAUACAUUCUUUGUUAUCAUUAUAAGCAGCUGCUUCUUCUUCUCCUUUUUUGGCACUUGUAUAUAAAGCUUUGCUAACUUUGAGUUCUUAUGAUUAAAAUAUGUUUAAUUUCAGUUCAAAAAUUGUUAAUGAUUUUAACUAAUAUAUUAAGAUUUUUUUUUUUAACAAGAGCUCAAAUAUCAAUAAU